GAUGAACGCUGGCGGCGUGCCUAAUACAUGCAAGUCGAGCGAACAGACGAGGAGCUUGCUCCUCUGACGUUAGCGGCGGACGGGUGAGUAACACGUGGAUAACCUACCUAUAAGACUGGGAUAACUUCGGGAAACCGGAGCUAAUACCGGAUAAUAUAUUGAACCGCAUGGUUCAAUAGUGAAAGACGGUUUUGCUGUCACUUAUAGAUGGAUCCGCGCCGCAUUAGCUAGUUGGUAAGGUAACGGCUUACCAAGGCAACGAUGCGUAGCCGACCUGGGAGGGUGAGCGGCCACACUGGAACUGAGACACGGUCCAGACUCCUACGGGAGGCAGCAGUAGGGAAUCUUCCGCAAUGGGCGAAAGCCUGACGGAGCAACGCCGCGUGAGUGAUGAAGGUCUUCGGAUCGUAAAACUCUGUUAUUAGGGAAGAACAAAUGUGUAAGUAACUAUGCACGUCUUGACGGUACCUAAUCAGAAAGCCACGGCUAACUACGUG
rnacentral:rRNA from 1 species